GGGGAAUUUUCCGCAAUGGGCUGGAGUGACGGAGCAAUACCGCGUGAGGGAAGAAAGCCUUUGGGCGUAAACCUCUUUUCUCAGGGGAGAAGCCCUGACGGUACCUGAGGAAUCAGCAUCGGCUAACUCCGUGCCAGCAGCCGCGGUAAUACGGAGGAUGCAAGCGUUAUUCGGAAUUAUUGGGCGUAAAGAGUCCGUAGGUGGUCGGAUAAGUCUGCUGUCAAAGACCGGGGCUUAACUCCGGAGAGGCAGUGGAAACUGUGCGACUAGAGACCGGGAGGGGUAGAGGGAAUUCCCAGUGUAGCGGUGAAAUGCGUAGAGAUUGGGAAGAACACCGGUGGCGAAGGCGCUCUACUGGACCGGAACUGACACUGAGGGACGAAAGCUAGGGGAGCGAAAGGGAUUAGAUACCCCUGUAGUC
rnacentral:rRNA from 1 species